ensembl:snoRNA small nucleolar RNA SNORD67
GGUAUAAAUGAUGAGUUGCACUGUUAGAUGGGUUGCUGUUUGCUGUGGCACAGCCUCCCCGUCCAGACUCACCGUGGUGACAGUCAAAGUGCACAGGGGCCAUCUGACUCACC